UUGAUUGUGAAUCGUUGCCUUCAGUGCUGGCUCCGGCAAGUGCACGUUGGUGACUUUCAUCCACACCCUGUGAACCUUUGGCCUCUUGCUAGCUUCGGCUGGCUGAGGAUUUUUACACCCACUCGAAUGUAAUGAAAUUAUUGUCGUGCGCAAGCACUAAUGUA
rnacentral:misc_RNA from 1 species